rnacentral:rRNA from 1 species
UACGGAGGGUGCGAGCGUUGUCCGGAAUCACUGGGCGUAAAGGCGCGUAGGCGGCCUGAUAAGUAGGGGGUGAAAUCCUGCGGCUUAACCGCAGGGCUGCCUUCUAAACUGUCAGGCUAGAGCACGGUAGAGGCAGAUGGAAUUCCCGGUGUAGCGGUGGAAUGCGUAGAGAUCGGGAAGAACAUCAGUGGCGAAGGCGGUCUGCUGGGCCGUUGCUGACGCUGAGGUGCGAAAGCGUGGGGGAGCAAACAGG